CCACUGUAUAAGAGUUUCAGACCACUGUAUAAGAGGUUCAGACCACUGUAUAAGAGUUUCAGACCACUGUAUAAGAGUUUCAGACCACUGUAUAAGAGGUUCAGACCACUGUAUAAGAGGUUCAGACCACUGUAUAAGAGGUUCAGACCACUGUAUAAGAGGUUCAGACCACUGUAUAAGAGUUUCAGACCACUGUAUAAGAGGUUCAGACCACUGUAUAAGAGGUUCAGACCACUGUAUAAGAGGUUCAGACCACUGUAUAAGAGUUUCAGACCACUGUAUAAGAGUUUCAGACCACUGUAUAAGAGUUUCAGACCACUGUAUAAGAGUUUCAGACCACUGUAUAAGAGGUUCAGACCACUGUAUAAGAGGUUCAGACCACUGUAUAAGAGUUUCAGACCACUGUAUAAGAGUUUCAGACCACUGUAUAAGAGGUUAAGACCACUGUAUAAGAGGUUCAGACCACUGUAUAAGAGUUUCAGACCACUGUAUAAGAGGUUCAGACCACUGUAUAAGAGUUUCAGACCACUGUAUAAGAGUAAAACUAUAAGGUCUUAUGAAAUACGUAUUGUGUUAAAGCAGUGAUUGUCACGCCUUGGUCUUAGUAUUUUGUGUUUUCGUUAUUUAUUUGGUCAAGCCAGGGUGUGACAUGGGUUUAUUUUGUGGUGUGUUUUUGUAUUGGGGUUUAGUAGGUAUUGGGAUUGCGGCUGAGUAGGGGUGUCUAGAUUAGGAUCGGCUGCCUGAGGCGGUUCUCAAUCAGAGUCAGGUGAUUCUUGUUGUCUCUGAUUGGGAACCAUAUUUAGGUAGCCUGGGUUUCACUGUGUAUUUCGUGGGUGAUUGUUCCUGUCUCUGUGUUUGCUUUCACUAAAUAGGCUGUAAUAGGUUUUCACGUUUCGUUUGUUGUUUUUGUAUAUUUAGUUUAUUUCAUGUAUCGUCAUUAUUUGUAUUAAAGAACAUGAGUAACCACCA